GUGUCCUGGGCACACACCCUCAAGUACCCGCAGGUCCCGUCGCCCCCGCGGGCCCGUCCAGGCCCCGCCCUCUGUCCCGGGGCGCUGUCUGGCUCACUCCGCGGUGGGAAAGCCCAGCCUGCAGGCUUGGUGAACCAGCCGCCCGGUUUCCUUCCAGCAGGAGGGCUGAGACCCCCCCCGCAGUUUCCGGGCCCUCCAAUCACGCCCUCAGGAAGGGGCUUGCACCGCGGCCGGCCCGACCCUCGGACGCGUUUGUGAUGUUCACGCGCCCCCUGGAGGGAACAGUAAUCUCGGCUUCCGGGGAACACGCGCGUGCGUGUCGGGGGUGUGCGCGUGAUGUGCGUGUGCGUGUCGGGGUGUGUGCGUCAUGUGCAUGUGCGCGAUGUGCACUGCGCGACAUGUGUGCGUGUGCGUGUGCGCGCGUAUGUGAUGUGCGGGUGGGGGGGGGUGCGCGCGCGGUGUGCGCUGCACUGGGCUGCGUCUUCCCCCCCGGCCCCACCCCCGGGCUGCAGGCGGGUCCCGGCGCCGCGGUCCCGGCCCUGACCCGUCCAAGUCGCCCCAGGGCCGCUCCCGUCUCUCCCCUUCAGUUUCUUCACUACCCGGCCGACACCCGGGUCAUGGGUGACUUAAUGCAGAAUCCUGAGCUGGUCCCCCACCACACUGAGAAUUUUUCUCAGUCUCACAAAUGAACCCAGCACAGCCGGACACCCCGAGCAGAUACAGGGCCAGCGCACAGGCCUGGCAGCAGAGGAGGGAGGAAUCCAGGUCAUACCCUCCAUGUCCCCAGCCCGGAAGGACAUUUCUCUUCCAGGACACCGAGGCCCACUGACCUGCAAAGCAACCUGCUCUAUGGGCACUUUGAGCUAAGGAGGAAGAUCGUCCCAGGCACAACGCCUCGUGCGGGACUCCAGCUUUGCACGGAAUAUUCUUUUGCCUGCCUCCAAGAUGGUCCCUAGAUGGGCCCCACAUCUUUCUAAGAGCUCAACGGUCACUUUCUGAGCGGUUCCGCAUGGAGGGAAGCCAACCUCCCAGCCCAUCAGGCUGCCCCGCCUUGCCAAGAACUCAUCACCACCUGAAUGACCUCCUUCCCUUCCCAACGCGGGUCACUGGGUGCCUGCAGUGGACUCUGUCUUCCAUGGGAUGUACCAGCCUACCAAGGGACAGGCUGUCUCCCGGAGCCGACAGACUGUCGGUCCCGUUGUUCACUUAGUUGUUGUCAGCCUCCCCCACUGGAACACAAGCCGUGUGAGAGCAGGGACCUUGGUCAGCCUGGCCCACUGCCUUAUCCCCAGAGCCUAGAAAAAUUAUGUAACUUGCCCAAGUUUAUACAACUAUUCAUAGUAGAGGCAUUUGUUUCUAGGCCCUGUUCUCUUAACCACUAGACAAUCUUGUCUUACAAACAGCUCUCGGCCAUUCAUUGAUUUGUUCUACAAAUAUUUAUUGAACACCACAACAUGCCAGCUGUUGUUCUAGAUCAGCGGUGUUCAGUACAGCUGAGGGCGAUAACGGAAUGUUCCCUGUCUGUCCUGCCCAAUAUGGUAGCCACGCGCCACAUGCCCAUGCGACUGAAGCGCUGAAUCUUCAUUUCACUGCAAGGGAUUCUCCGCAAGAGUGAAGACAGGCUGCAGACCUCCCGCUGGCCACAGUGACCGGAUGGAUGAGAUCUAGGAGCUGUAGGUUGACACAGUGUAACUCCUUGGCCAUCAUCUGCGUCACCCGGCCUGC